GGAGUGGGCGGGGCUUUCGGAGAGGCGCCGGUGAUCGCCGCAGGCUCGCGCUGUGGGCUGCCCGACCGGCUUCCGGAAGAAGCCUGCAAAUCUGGGGGCGGAUCUCAGCAAGCCGGCCAACAAAUCGGGGCAGGCGGCCUCGUGGGCGGCCGACUUGCGGAGACUCGGAGCGUUGGACGGCGCGCCUCUUCUGCGAUGGGUACCACCUUCUGUUGGCUGGGACGCCGAUCUCACAUUCUGUGCUGGAGACAAAAAGACGUGGCGAAGGCUUGGAGGUUAAUCUCCUGGAGCAGAGAAUGGAGGCAGCCAAGGAAGAUGCUGUUGAACCAGUUAGGAGGCUGUUGCAGCUAUCCCAGCAAGAUUUGAUGAUAAUGUGGACUUGAGAGGUGGCAGAGCAGUUGCCCAAAGCUGGAUGACUUUCAGAGCGCUGUUCUUGGAUUGAAGUGAGCGAAAGUAGUGCAGGACAAGCAUGACAUGGAAGGGAGAGAGAGUCUCAGCUGGGAGAGAAACAGCAGCAACUCCAAAUCGAACAUGAACAAAGAAACAUGUGUCUCCAUUUUCUCCUGUAAACCAUCUAUUAAUGAGGGCCCUAGUCUGGAGGCAAAACUGAUAUACAAAGGAAGACUGAACCAAGAGAAUAACAAAGAAAUGGACUGGAACCCUUAUGAUAUUGGGCCUGGAGCCCUUCUGAGCUCUGGACUGCCUGUUGAUAAACUUCUUCAUUGCUUAAGCUAGUUUGAGCUGGGUUUUCUGUUACUUGCAGUCUAAAACAUCCUACCUGAUAUAACUCUCCUCUGCUGUUCGAGAAUCUUUGGGGAAGUUUGAGAAUCACCUAGCUAUCUUAUAACUCUCCCCGCUACAUUUCCUCUUUACCCAUUGGC
rnacentral:lncRNA from 1 species